GGGACGAAUGCUCAUCACGCGCUGCCCCCGAGGAGUCCAGAGAGGGUCACGGCCCGUGCGGGCAGUAAGUGUGACCCAGCUUUUAACUGCCACGACAGAAGGAAAAGGCAGAGGAAUCCCCACGUUCCUCCCUCCCUGUCCCCCUCCCCUGCAGGAUCUCUCUGGUUUUAACUGCCCAAAGCUAGAUGACUGGACCCACCAGCUGCGGCACAUGCAGAGGGAAUACCACCCGGCGAUCAAAAACGCGUCUACAAUGGCCCUCCCUGGUGGCG